rfam:Schistosoma haematobium scaffold1188_8, whole genome shotgun sequence.
AGGUUUCCGAAUCCGUGCAGAGAUUUCGUCAGACACCAACAUAUUUGGGCUGGUCAGACUCCCAAGAUAAGUGAAGUU